AUGGUAUACGGCCUAGCCAUGGGUAUAUGGUGAUUUAUAACCCUACCAUGGGGGUGAAACAUGGUAUACGACCCAGCCACGGGUAUAAUGGUGGUUUAUAACCUUACCACGGGGGUUAAACAUAGUAUCUGUCCCGAUGCAAUGCUCCGAUAUGAUAUGUGGAUGAUGUCUCAUUUUAUGAUAUGCCGAAGGAUUUUUGAAUAAGAAAGUUUUCUGAAAAUUUCACUCUGAUGUUUUGUAACAAGUUUUGUUUGUGCAUUCUGAAAGUAAAUAUGUUGUUUCUGCAUUAUGAAAGUAAAUGUUUUGUUCUAUAUACCGAACUUUAUAAAUGCUCAAGUUUAUAUGCUAGUAUAAAUUCUCUGCUUACUGAGUUGUUGAU